rnacentral:rRNA from 1 species
AACGAACGCUGGCGGCAGGCUUAACACAUGCAAGUCGAGCGCCCCGCAAGGGGAGCGGCAGACGGGUGAGUAACACGUGGGAAUCUACCCAUCCCUACGGAACAACUCCGGGAAACUGGAGCUAAUACCGUAUACGACCUUUGGGGGAAAGAUUUAUCGGGGAUGGAUGAGCCCGCGUUGGAUUAGCUAGUUGGUGGGGUAAAGGCCUACCAAGGCGACGAUCCAUAGCUGGUCUGAGAGGAUGAUCAGCCACAUUGGGACUGAGACACGGCCCAAACUCCUACGGGAGGCAGCAGUGGGGAAUAUUGGACAAUGGGCGCAAGCCUGAUCCAGCCAUGCCGCGUGAAUGAUGAAGGCCUUAGGGUUGUAAAGUUCUUUCACCGAUGAAGAUAAUGACGGUAGUCGGAGAAGAAGCCCCGGCUAACUUCGUGCCAGCCGCCGCAGUAA